GAUGAACGCUGGCGGCGUGCCUAAUACAUGCAAGUCGAGCGGUAAGGCCACUUCGGUGGUACACGAGCGGCGGACGGCUGAGUAACACGUAGGAACGUACCCCAAACUGAGGGAUAAGCACCAGAAAUGGUGUCUAAUACCGCAUGUGCUCUAAGGGGUAAAGCUUCGGCGGUUUGGGAACGGCCUGCGCAUGAUUAGCUUGUUGGUGAGGUAAUGGCUCACCAAGGCGACGAUCAUUAGCUGGUCUGAGAGGAUGAUCAGCCAGACUGGGACUGAGAACGGCCCAGACUCCUACGGGAGGCAGCAGUAGGGAAUUUUCCACAAUGGACGAAAGUCUGAUGGAGCAACGCCGCGUGCAGGAUGAAGGCUUUCGGGUCGUAAACUGCUUUUAUCUGUGAAGAUUAUGACGGUAGCAGAUGAAUAAGGAUCGGCUAACUCCGUG
rnacentral:rRNA from 1 species